UGGUAGAUGCACCCUGGUAAAGUCCUAGAGAUAAACUCUGGGGCUUUUUUUA
rnacentral:sRNA from 1 species